rnacentral:rRNA from 1 species
AAUUCAGAAGUUGAUCAUGGUUCAGAACGAACGCUGGCGGCAAGCUUAACACAUGCAAGUCGAACGGACCGUACACGCAGCUUGCUGCGUGUAUGGUUAGUGGCAGACGGGUGAGUAAUGCAUAGGAAUCUGCCUAGUAGUAUAGGAUAGCCACUAGAAAUGGUGGGUAAUACUGUAUAAUCCCUGCGGGGGAAAGAUUUAUCGCUACUAGAUGAGCCUAUGUCAGAUUAGCUAGUUGGUGGGGUAAUGGCCCACCAAGGCUGUGAUCUGUAGCUGGUCUGAGAGGAUGAUCAGCCACACUGGAACUGAGACACGGUCCAGACUCCUACGGGAGGCAGCAGUGGGGAAUAUUGGACAAUGGGCGCAAGCCUGAUCCAGCUAUGCCGCGUGAGUGAGGAAAGCCUUAGGGUUGUAAAACUCUUUCAGUGGAGUAAGAUAA